rnacentral:rRNA from 1 species
GACGAACGCUGGCGGCGUGCUUAACACAUGCAAGUCGAACGGAAAGGCCCUGCUUUUGUGGGGUGCUCGAGUGGCGAACGGGUGAGUAACACGUGAGUAACCUGCCCUUGACUUUGUGAUAACUUCAGGAAACUGCGGCUAAUACCGGAUAGGAGCUCCUGCUGCAUGGUGGGGGUUGGACAGUUUCGGCGGUUGGGGAUGGACUCGCGGCUUAUCAGCUUGUUGGUGGGGUAGUGGCUUACCAAGGCUUUGACGGGUAGCCGGCCUGAGAGGGUGACCGGCCACAUUGGGACUGAGAUACGGACCAGACGGGUACGGGAGGCAGCAGUGGGGAAUAUUGCACAAUGGGCGGAAGCCUGAUGCAGCAACGCCGCGUGCGGGAUGACGGCCUUCGGGUUGGAAACCGCUUUCGCCUGUGACGAAGCGUGAGUGACGGUAAUGGGUAAAGAAGCACCGGCUAACUACGUG